UACGUAGGGGGCAAGCGUUGUCCGGAAUCAUUGGGCGUAAAGCGCGUGUAGGCGGCUCGGUAAGUCUGCUGUGAAAGUCCAGGGCUCAACCCUGGGAUGCCGGUGGAUACUGUCGAGCUCGAGUCCGGAAGAGGCGAGUGGAAUUCCUGGUGUAGCGGUGAAAUGCGCAGAUAUCAAGGAGGAACACCAAUGGCGAAGGCAGCUCGCUGGGACGUGACUGACGCUGAGACACGAAAGCGUGGGUAGCAAACAGG
rnacentral:rRNA from 1 species